AUUGAACGCUGGCGGCAUGCCUUACACAUGCAAGUCGAACGGCAGCACGGGUUCUUUCUCCUGGUGGCGAGUGGCGAACGGGUGAGUAAUACAUCUGAACAUGUCCUGUAGUGGGGGAUAGCCCGGCGAAAGCCGGAUUAAUACCGCAUACGAUCUACGGAAGAAAGCGGGGGACCUUCUGGCCUCGCGCUAUACGGUUCUCCGAUGGCAGAUUAGCUAGUUGGUGGGGUAAAGGCCUACCAAGGCGACGAUCAGUAGCUGGUCUGAGAGGACGACCAGCCACACUGGGACUGAGACACGGCCCAGACUCCUACGGGAGGCAGCAGUGGGGAAUUUUGGACAAUGGGCGAAAGCCUGAUCCAGCAAUGCCGCGUGUGUGAAGAAGGCCUUCGGGUUGUAAAGCACUUUUGUCCGGAAAGAAAUCCUUGGCCCUAAUACGGUCGGGGGAUGACGGUACCGGAAGAAUAAGCACCGGCUAACUACGUG
rnacentral:rRNA from 1 species